UAGGGAAUCUUCGGCAAUGGGGGGAACCCUGACCGAGCAACGCCGCGUGAGUGAAGAAGGUUUUCGGAUCGUAAAGCUCUGUUGUUAAGGAAGAACGAGUGUGAGAAUGGAAAGUUCAUACUGUGACGGUACUUAACCAGAAAGGGACGGCUAACUACGUGCCAGCAGCCGCGGUAAUACGUAGGUCCCGAGCUUUGUCCGGAUUUAUUGGGCGUAAAGCGAGCGCAGGCGGUUAGAUAAGUCUGAAGUUAAAGGCAGUGGCUCAACCAUUGUAGGCUUUGGAAACUGUUUAACUUGAGUGCAGAAGGGGAGAGUGGAAUUCCAUGUGUAGCGGUGAAAUGCGUAGAUAUAUGGAGGAACACCGGUGGCGAAAGCGGCUCUCUGGUCUGUAACUGACGCUGAGGCUCGAAAGCGUGGGGAGCGAACAGG
rnacentral:rRNA from 1 species